rnacentral:rRNA from 1 species
GGGAAUAUUGGACAAUGGGCGCAAGCCUGAUCCAGCCAUGCCGCGUGAGUGAUGAAGGCCCUAGGGUUGUAAAGCUCUUUUGUGCGGGAAGAUAAUGACGGUACCGCAAGAAUAAGCCCCGGCUAACUUCGUGCCAGCAGCCGCGGUAAUACGAAGGGGGCUAGCGUUGCUCGGAAUCACUGGGCGUAAAGGGUGCGUAGGCGGGUCUUUAAGUCAGGGGUGAAAUCCUGGAGCUCAACUCCAGAACUGCCUUUGAUACUGAAGAUCUUGAGUUCGGGAGAGGUGAGUGGAACUGCGAGUGUAGAGGUGAAAUUCGUAGAUAUUCGCAAGAACACCAGUGGCGAAGGCGGCUCACUGGCCCGAUACUGACGCUGAGGCACGAAAGCGUGGGGAGCAAA